rfam:Camelus ferus unplaced genomic scaffold scaffold2552, whole genome shotgun sequence.
GAGGGGAUAGCUCAGUGGUAGAGGGCCUGUCUAGCAUGUGUGAGGUCCUGGGUUCAAUCCCCAGUGCCUCCA